GUGCCAGCAGCCGCGGUAAUACGGAGGAUGCAAGCGUUAUCCGGAUUCAUUGGGUUUAAAGGGUGCGCAGGCGGACUAUUAAGUCAGGGGUGAAAUCUCUCGGCUCAACCGAGAAACUGCCUUUGAUACUGAUAGUCUAGAGUAUAGUUGAAGUGGGCGGAAUGUGUCAUGUAGCGGUGAAAUGCUUAGAUAUGACACAGAACACCGAUCGCGAAGGCAGCUCGCUAAGCUAUAACUGACGCUCAUGCACGAAAGCGUGGGGAUCAAACAGGAUUAGAAACCCUUGUAGUCC
rnacentral:rRNA from 1 species